rnacentral:lncRNA from 1 species
GUUAAAAAUCGCGUAAAACGAAAUAAGCAAAACCCUAGGCGGCAGCAUUGCUCGAGCUACAGCUCAGCGACAGGUGGGUGACAACCUUACUACUCCAAAAUUGCUCCCCUCGCUCCAGCAUGAAGCCAACUGCCGUCCUACGCAGUAAAAUCCGACUUUUCCUUCUUGGGUCCUAUUAUGACAUCUUCAAGCCUAAUAGUCCAAAACGCACAACCCUUGAUAGAAUUUGGGUCACAAACCCCACAAUCUCCAUCUUGACACAAAUUUUGGUUUCAUGAAUGAAGUUUCAAAAUUUCUCCACUUGAAAAAAUAAGUCCGACUGCAGCGAAAUAAACUGAACUAUUCAUCCAAAACCAAACAUCUCCACCUCACAAAAAACACUCUUAAUCUUACACAGUAUCCACAAAUGAUACCUGAACUCAAACAUCGGGUUCCCAAAAUUCCACAAGAAAUUCAAG